UGAAUUUGCUGAGAAGAUUAGUCAAGAUU
rnacentral:sRNA from 1 species